UUCCGGUUGAUCCUGCCGGACCUGACUGCUAUCGGAUUGAUACUAAGCCAUGUGAGUCAUUGUAGUAAUACAAGGCAGACGGCUCAGUAACACGUAGUCAAUCUACCCUAUGGACGGGGAUAACCUCGGGAAACUGAGGAUAACACCCGAUAGAUCAUAAAGCCUGGAACGGUUUAUGGUCCAAAUGAUUCGUCGCCGUAGGAUGGGACUGCGGCCUAUCAGCUUGUUGGUGAGGUAAUGGCCCACCAAGGCUAUUACAGGUACGGGCUCUGAGAGGAGAAGCCCGGAGAUGGGUACUGAGACACGGACCCAGGCCCUAUGGGGCGCGGCAGGCGAGAAACCUUUGCAAUGUGCGCAAGCACGACAAGGUUAAUCCGAGUGUUUCCUGCUAAAGGAAUCUUUUGUUAGUUGUAAAACCACUGACGAAUAAGGGGUGGGCAAGUUCUGGUGUCAGCCGCCGCGGUAAAACCAGCACCUCAAGUGGUCAGGAGGAUUAUUGGGCCUAAAGCAUCCGUAGCCCGUUCUAUAAGUUUCCGGUUAAAUCCAUUAGCUCAACUAAUGGGCUGCCGAAAAUACUGUAGAACUAGGGAGUGGGAGAGGUAGACGGUAUUCGGUAGGAAGGGGUAAAAUCCUUUGAUCUAUUGAGGACCACCUGUGGCGAAGGCGGCCUACCAGAACACGUUCGACGGUGAGGGAUGAAAGCUGGGGGAGCAAACCGGAUUAGAUACUCGGGUAGUCCCAGCUGUAAACGAUGCAGACUCGGUGAUGCCCUGGCUUGUGGCCAGCGCAGUGCCGCAGGGAAGCCGUUAAGUUUGCCGCCCUGGGAAGUACGUACGCAAGUAUGAAACUUAAGGAAUUGGCCGGGGGAGCACCACAAGGGGUGAGCCUGCGGUUCAAUUUGGAUUCAACGCCGGG
rnacentral:rRNA from 1 species